CCUACGGGAGGCAGCAGUGGGGAAUAUUGGACAAUGGGCGAAAGCCUGAUCCAGCCAUGCCGCGUGUGUGAAGAAGGCCUUCGGGUUGUAAAGCACUUUCAGUGGGGAAGAAAGCCUUGGGGCUAAUACCCUCGAGGAAGGACAUCACCCACAGAAGAAGCACCGGCUAACUCCGUGCCAGCAGCCGCGGUAAUACGGAGGGUGCGAGCGUUAAUCGGAAUUACUGGGCGUAAAGCGCGCGUAGGCGGUCUGAUAAGCCGGUUGUGAAAGCCCCGGGCUCAACCUGGGAACGGCAUCCGGAACUGUCAGGCUAGAGUGCAGGAGAGGAAGGUAGAAUUCCCGGUGUAGCGGUGAAAUGCGUAGAGAUCGGGAGGAAUACCAGUGGCGAAGGCGGCCUUCUGGACUGACACUGACGCUGAGGUACGAAAGCGUGGGUAGCAAACAGGAUUAGAUACCCUGGUAGUC
rnacentral:rRNA from 1 species